rnacentral:tRNA from 1 species
GCGCCUGUAGCUCAGUUGGUUAGAGCAUCGAGCUUAUACCUCGAGGGUCCUUGGUUCGAAUCCAAGCAGGCGCACUA